rnacentral:rRNA from 1 species
UACGUAGGGUGCGAGCGUUAAUCGGAAUUACUGGGCGUAAAGCGUGCGCAGGCGGUGCACCAAGCUCGAUGUGAAAGCCCCGGGCUUAACCUGGGAAUUGCAUUGAGGACUGGUGUGCUCGAGUGCGGCAGAGGGGGGUGGAAUUCCACGUGUAGCAGUGAAAUGCGUAGAGAUGUGGAGGAACACCGAUGGCGAAGGCAGCCCCCUGGGCCGACACUGACGCUGAGGAGCGAAAGCGUGGGGAGCGAACAGG